AUGGAUUUACCGUCACAGAUAUGUUGAACAAAGUCUCCAAACAAAGACACCGAAGUCCCAGGCCGGACUACAAAACAUCUGAGGCGCCACGAUCGCACGGAAGCCCUGGCUGGACCGGCGCAAGUGUCGCCCCCCCCACAAAACAAACCGCAAAGUUCAGCAACACUCCCCAGGAGAACCACAUGGCAGACGAUAAGAAGGGUAAAACCCCCCUGGCGACCCCCAGGCAGGGGAAGGGAAACUGAAUGAGAGCGAGCAAAGCGAAAAGGGAAGGAGACAAGAAAGAAAAGCAGACAGAGACGGUGGCACAUUGGGACAGAGAGCGGUGGGAUGGUUGGAGACGAUCUUCCCUUCGGUCUGCCUUCGUGUCCAUACUGAGGGAAAGAUCUGCAGGUGCUCAGCUCCUGGAUGGACUGAGCCACCACGGCAACCGCGUCGUUGAUGUGGGCCGACUCGUUCUUCCCGUUGAUGAGCUGGAGGCCGAUCAGACCUGAGACCAGGGGCCAACAACAGACAAUCACUGACCUGAGCCGACUGACGCCUCCCCGGAUCCUUUUGCAAUGCAGGAGGUGGGAAAAAACUUAUAGGGAGUCCACUUUAGACAUCCUGAGUAAAGCAUGUGUAAAGAGUCCCUUGAAGUUGGAUCUCUUUUUUUUUUCAUGGACCUACCAGCUAAGGUCCAACAGUCUCCCGGAGAGAAGCUGCAGUGGAUGUGUGGACGAUACAGGACAUGGGACAGGACGGGGAGAAAAAGAAAGGCUCUGGGGUUGGUUGUGUCGGAGUGCCUGCAAGGAAAGGACGCUCGUUUGUGACCGAAAAGUGAGAAGCAACUCCACCGUACAGGCCUGAUUGAUGGAGUGAUGCUGAAAUGUUCAUCGUCCCGUAGUCUGCAGAGGACUUCUGAGGCUCUGUUCCACACCUGAAAGUCUGGACCAAGCAGGGUCUCGAGCCUCUUCUGAGCGGCCCGCCCCUCGUGGUCGUCGCUCACGAUCAGGAUGAUGUGGUUCCAGUUGAACUCGCGCAUCAGGUCGAACCACACGUGCGCCUGGUGGGAGUAGGGCGGGACUGUCCGCAGGAAGGACAGUAUAGCAACAACCUGUAAAGAGGAAGUCAGCUGCAGCGGCUUUGUGAGUCGCUGGAUGACAUGCUUCCUGAGAGACGUUGGCUUUACGUCAGCAAAAGCCGGAAAAGUCCUGAAGGAUCUCUCAGAGGAGGAAGAAGAAAAAGGGACGUUUAUGGCUCUGACUGUGAAGAAGAGACUGGCGAGAGUUGCUGUCGGCAGGGAGUCGUCCCUGACCGCCAGCAACCCACCAUCUUGACAUUUUUCUGUGAUUUAAAGGGGGUGAAACAUCAAUGCAGGAUGGCUCCCAUGCAGAAGAACCUGCAGCGGGUGUUCAGGAUUCAGGAUUCCUCUAAAUGUUUAGGCUUUCCUAAACGUCUUUUGUAGUCCCAUCUUUGGAAAUUUUGGAAACCAUGGCAGACGCACAUCGCAUAAUAUUACGUAGUAUAGUGCAAGUGGAGUCGGAUUCUCUAAGCAGUGCUGUCGGCUUUUCCUAAGAAUCCUAUGACUCCUCCUUUACACCUUUCCUUGACCUCAUGACGUUUUCCAUUGAGUAUGUGUUACACCACAUACUAAAACUGAAAUCAACAAACAACUAAUCGCUAAUGGUCAAACAUCCUGAAAAGAAAAGCAUUUCAUCCUCCCUUCAACCACGUCAGUCACCUCAGACUCCCGUAAAAAUCUCUGAGUUUUAAUUCUCUGUUGAAGAUCUGGAGACGUGUCCCCUCAAAAAUCCUUGAAUAGACAUUUUUUAAAUCGAGUGCAUUCGUGCGUUUUAUUCAUGCGAUUUGCCUUAAAGGCUUCAUUUUUAGUGGUUUGUGCUUCAUAAAAAACAUUACUCAGGUCAGGCGCAUUAUUAAUGACGCGCUUUCAAUUUCCAGCUGGAAACCCAUUUAAUCACAGGCUCCUCUAAUGGAGAGUGAUGGGACGUUUAAUCUAAGAAGCUUUUGAAGCUGCCCCAGGGGAGCUCCUUCCUCCCUUCGCUCACUGUUCACUCACUUCCUGUUGUCCUCCCUCUUUCUCUCUCUCUCUCUCUCUUUCUCUCUCUCUCAUCCGUCACUCACCUUGUCUGAGUAGAUGGACAUGCGGGUGGUGAGCCCCACCACGGGGAUGCGGUAGAAGCCCGCGGUGUAGGAGACGGGCGUCGGGGUGAGGUGGUCAUUGGACUGGGGAGGGUGACUCACCAGGAUGGCGUAGACCUGCAGAGACACAGAGGAAAGGACACUUUGUCAUUCUGACAGCGGCAUUAAGACGGAAGUGUGAAUACCUAAAGGGGCAGUCAGCGAUCUUGGAGAAAGCUCGCUUCUCUCUCUUUGCUGUUGACGUGAUUUGACUGCUCUGGCCGGGGCUGCGAACCCGCGACCUCGGGAAUGGAAGGCCGACGCACAAAAACCGCGAGGCCAAAACCGUGGAGUUGCAGCCGCCACCCGCCAGCACGUCUCUUGUGUUGUGUGGCGCUACCCGAGCCAUUUGUUUUGUUUCACAGUGCCUGGGCUGAGCUAGGGAAAAGCACGGAAAUAUUUGCUGAUUUUUACAAAAUGUGAUAAGCUUUAAAAUCGCUUACUGGCCCUUUAAAGUCUUACUAGAAUAAAGAUUUGGGUCUUACAGGCAUCCAUGUUGAGCGUAUACCUCAGGGCGUUCUGUCUUUAGAUUUGUCUUUUUUUUAGGUGUAGUUUUGUAAUUUAACAGAUUACAAACCCGAAAAUAUGCCGUCUGCCACAAAAAACAAUUUGGAUAUUAAUUAAUCACGUGAUAUAAAACAACAUGAGGAGCAGUAAGAUGUCCAUAAUCCUUCUUCCUGAAUCCUAAAAUUAUGUAGCAAACAAGGAGCGACAACGAAAAGACGUAAACGUAUGAAACUGUUCUGACAUACAAUACCAGCAUGUACAGUAACAACAGGAAAAAACAAAACUAGUGCCAAAACACGACUAUAUGAUGUUGAUAUUAUAUAAAUGUUAAUUUCAGUGUGUUGUAGAAAAAAUGUGUUCCAGCAUAAAGAUUUCAUUUGUUACCCUUCCGAUCUAACCUCCUGUUUUCUCCAUCUUAGUUUAAUUUGAAUUCAUGCAAAUUUAUUUAAGCCCAAUUCAUUUUUGUUAAUAUUUUCAAUGAAUCAAAUUAAUACAGAGAUGUACAUUGAAUCUGGGCUCUGGGUGCAGUUGUCUGCUUUCCUCGGAUGUUAAUACAAACAAUCUUUUUAUAUGAUUAAAAACUUGUGUUAUGCUUUAAAUACAAUCUUUCAUUGGAAUGUAACUGCUGACCUUAAAAUAGUGUAUAAAAGGUUAAAAAUAACAUUUUUUUAAUGUCUUUUGUAAAUCGUCUUCAGGGACGAUCUCAACCAUAACAGAGAAACAGAAGAGCAAAUGAAUAUUUUUCCCUUUGUCUUUGACUGUGUGUGCCGGCUGUUUGGUUUCAAUCCUGCAACGAGCAAACCAAAGUCCGGGCCCACAACUUUGAAUGAAAAAAUAACUUCCUCUCUUGUGCCUCUCUCUUGGAGCUGCAGCCUUGAGGAAUGCCACGUCGGUAGCGGAGAAAUAAGGAGGAAUAAGGUUGGCACGGCUGUGCAGGCAUCGGAUUACUGGAUAUGGAGCGGCUCCGUGUGGUUGGGUCAAAAAUGAGGUCUUAUCUUCCAAGGAUCGCUCCCGGGCAUCUCCUCCUCCAUCUGCCACUGACUGAUCUCCAUCUCAACAUUCUGAGGACUCUUCUGUUCUAAUCAGAAGACUGGAUGUGACAGUACUAUUUUACAAGCCUCUAUCAAUUAGAGUCAUCACACCAGGCAGAGGAGCGAGGACAUGGAGGCAGAACUGACGCUGUGGGUGUGUUCUUUCGCAUGAAGCCUUAUUGUGUGUGUGUGUGUGUGUGUGUGUGUGUGUGUGUGGGAGCGAGAGGGACUUCACGACUCAACAUGCUUAUGACAUAACGGUUUUCGUAGAGCCAUGAAGAGCAUCACACGAGAAGAUGGUCGACGCAUUCCAGCGUGUUGUCGGGCGGCUUUAAAGCUGCACCAUGCGUAACUCAUGAAAUGUGUUUUGUUCGUCAAGAUCCGUGGCAUAUGUACGGAUCUUAAAAGUCUUAACUCUUCUGCACAGAAGCAUUUUCAUGAUCCCACUGCGGUGGAAGUGGUCCACUCGCAGGAGGGGCCAACUUACACAAAAGUGAUUUUGCUCAAAACUGUCUACACAGCCAAAUUGUCCGCCGCCGCCGCCGCCUCCUGCCAAAAUGUCAUCGUGCAACACUCGCCCGCACGUUGAAAGCCAAGCGGUUAAUUGCGAAUGACAUUCUGCACAUUUUUGUUUCACCCCUCACUGAUCUGCAGCUGUGUGUCCUGAAAUGUACAGUACAGCUGCCGCCUUCUCAUUAAGAGAUGUGGCCCCAAACCAACCAACGCCUAAUAUUGUUUUGCACGUCUGUAAAAAACAGAUGGGUCCGUGGUUUAGGGCCGCAACAGUUAUGUUCAUAAUCGAUGAAUCUGGCGAUUAUUCUCUCGAUUAGUUGUUUGGUCCAACAACCAAGAUGAUGUUUUGUUUUGUCCACACACCAAAGAUAUUUAGAUUACAGUCAUAGAGGAGCAAAGAAACCAGAACCUAGUCACAUUUUAGGAGCUGAAAUUAGAGAAUUUUGACCUUUAAAAAAUAUUUACUAUUCAAUUAACUGUCGCAGCUCUAGUCUGUGGGGAGUUCACAGUGUUUUUUUGGAACUUCACAAGUGGACUAAUCUGUAGCGUGGAUGCCAGAUUGGACAAAUGGCAGCACCAAAUGGCAGCAGAGUUAUUGUACCCUGCUGCCAUUUGGUGUUUCUAUGCAUUUGGGUAUUAAUCUGUUAAUCUGCUAGUGUGAGGCUGUGGAGACACUAACAAUUGUUUUUGUCAAGACUAAUGAUGAUGAUGAUGAUGAUGAUGAUAUAGUCAUGGCAACCAGUGUCGUCCAGUGAGAAAACACGUCAUGUUGUGGCCAUGUAAAUCAACUUUCUAUAGGGGAUUUCAAGGCGCUUGACGCCGAGUCUUAACAGAACCAUUUCCACUCCUAAGGUGGAGAUUCAUCGAUCACAUAGCUGCUGUAACAUGGUCGAGAUAUUCCAUCGAUCACACUACAACUGGUGCGUAACAUGCAGUGGGUU